rnacentral:siRNA from 1 species
UCAGCCUGCUAACUAGCUA